rnacentral:lncRNA from 1 species
CUAGGAGGACUGUAAGUUAUAGGCCAUCCUGAACUGUCUGGCAAGACCCUUUCUCAACAAAACACAAAUAAGCAGAGUCCAACUGGGCACAUACCUUUAAUCCUAGCACUCUGGAGGCAGAGGAGUUUCAGGCCAGCCUGGUCUACAGAGCAAGUUCCAGGACAGCCAGGGCUGCAUAGAGAAAGCCUGUUUGGAAAAAACAAACACUAAAACAACAACAAAAAAUUUGUAAUUAUUAAAAAAGCAAAUGAGCAGAGUCCAAGUGUUGACAGUGUACCUUGCACUCUAAAUUCCUGUGUCCUACCCUGUCAGUUAGGCUGAUAAGGGUUAACCUCUUGGACAGGUUCUAAAUGCUAGACUGCUGAGAAACCUGGUGGUGGUGGUGGCAGAAGUGGCGGUAGUCCCUAGAUGGGUGAUUCUUUUUGUUUUUAUCACCCUAUCUCAAUGCCAAGGCUCUUGUCUGUUAUUUUCCAAAUCAAUAGGUAGGUUCUCAUCUGGGUAAUGUAGGAGUAGAGGACAAUGGUGAGUCUUCUGUCUCUGGAAGUGUCUGGGAAUAGGAUAGAGGAUGAAGAUUCUAGAAGGAGCAUACCUAUCAUAGUAUGUUGGAAAGCCAUUGGCUGCAGGAUGUUCAGGAAAUGUAGACCAUACCUAUUUUCUGGAUGGUUAGGGGCUGAGCAAAAACUACUAAACUCGGAGAAUCAGUACUACCUUUAAGCUUAAAUAUAUCCCUGCCAGGAAGGGGUAAGGCUCAGAAAGCUGAUAGAAUGUACUCAUGUCAACAUUAAGUGGUGGUGUGCUAGGUUUAAAACUUGAGUCUAGGGGUUGGGGAUUUAGCUCAGUGGUAGAGCGCUUGGCCUAGCAAGCGCAAGGCCCUGGGUUUGGUCCCCAGCUCCGGGGGAAAAAAAAAACUUAAAAAAAACCUUGAGUCUAAUUCAAGUCUUUUGUAGCCUUUUGUUUGUAUUAUUUUGCCUUCUCAACAAAGGAACACCACUCUGUAAUGUUUUCUGUCAUCAUGUAUUUAAAAUAUAUUUUCUCUACUCUUUUUUUAAAAAAAACAAAACGGUAGUUUUUUAUGGAAAACUAUCCUUUCUAAGUCUCUUUAAAUGAUGUCUAACUUAAUUCACUGAUUUCAUCUUAAGUUUUGAUAGACAAUAAUGUAUUAGAAAUAAAAGCAUCUAGAUUCUUGGGAACAUAAUCAUGCCAAAAUGAAAGAACUAAAACCAGAUGUGUGGCUCGCACCAGUACUCCAAGAACUCAGAAUGCUGAAGCAGGAGGAUGACUAUGAAGUUAAGUCCAGCCUGGGCUGCAGACUAAGAGGCAGUCUCAAAGCAAAACAACACAAUCUGGGACUCUAGGUAUUCUAACUCUAAUGUAUCUCAAGGUGGCGGGUAGCGUGUGCAUGCACAGACAGAGGGUCUCCCCCAUAUAACCCAGUGUGAUCCUGAAUUUUUUAGCCCACUAAUUAGCUUUCCAAGUACUGGGAUCGUGGUGUUUGCUGUCAUGCCUGACUAGUUCUUUAUUCUUAAAACAAAUUUCUGGGUCUUUAAAAAAUCCUUUUUAUACAGUAAAUCUCAUCCUUUUUAAUUUUAAGUUCUGUAAGUUUGGACACCUUUUAACAGGGGUGGUCUGCCACCAUAAUCAAGAUAGAGAAUUUUUAUGGCAUUGUCUCCAAACUUACUGUGUCUCCUAUAGUAUAGUCCUGUCCCCAUCCUAAGAGCCUAGCAGGCACAGAGCUCUUUCCUGUUCCGUAGUAUGAUGUUGUAAGUCACACAGGAGCGUAUUUUAUGGCAUUAAGCUUUUAGCUUUUUCCUUCUAAACCUUACAUUCACAUUAGAUGCGGUUGUAUAAGCUCCGAUAAAUGGAUACAGACGAGUAAUCAUGAACAGAGUACAGAAGAGUUCUAUUAGUCUCCCCUCCACCAUUCCUGGUAUUUCAUAGUCAAAUCUUGUUCUCUCCCUGACAUUCACUGACGUGUGCUUUCACUUUAUGGACUGUCUUUUGAAAAGAGUUGUAAGUGGAAUUUAAUAGUAUGUAACUUUUGAGAAUAAUGUGCUAGAAAUUAGAGAUUUUAAAUCCGUAUCACUGGAUGUAUCAAUAGUUUUGAUUUCUGUUUCAUAUGCUAUUGUGUGGAUGUCUUACUGCUUAUUCAACCCCAAGUUGGAGGACAUUCGUUACAGUUGAGGAGGAAGUUGUGAAUAAAGCUGCUAUAAAACCUUGUGUGAGACUGUUUUCAUUUCUUUGGCAUCACUACCUAGAGUUGGAUUGUUGCAAUAUAUGGUAAGCAUAUGGUUAACAUUCUAAGAAACCACUAAACUUCUUUGUUCUUUUAAUGUACAUUUAAAAAUAUUUUGUCUGCAUGUGUGUCUGUGUGUCUGUGUGCCAUGUGCGUGGCUUGGUGCCCACAGAGGCCAGAAAAGGUGUUAUAUCCCAUGGACUGAAAUUAUACAUGGUUGGUAGUGAGCCACUGUGUGGUUGCCGGGAACUGAGCCUGGGUCCUCUUCAAAAUCAAAGUGAUCUGAACUGCUAAGCCAUCUCUCUGGAUCCUAAUGUAACUUUUUAAAUUCAUGUGCAAAACAUUGGUUUUCAUUUUGACAUUAUACACACACAUACACGUGUGCACACACACUCCCAUGUAUUUAUGCAUGCGCACACAUACACAUUACCCACCUGUUGAUGGACACCUUGGCUGGUUCAUUAGCUUGUCUUUUGUAGAAAGUAUAGCAAGAAAAUGAAUGUACAGCUCCCUCUGUGCUCUGCUGACUUGGAUUCCUUCAAGUAUAUAUCCAAGAAUUAGUACAGUUGUUUUUUUAUGAGAGCUGUAAUUUUUAAGGUUUAUGUGUGAAAGA